AUAGUGCAACAAUAUGGCGUAUUGAAUGUAGUCAUUCCAUAUGUGCAUAUUUGUUUAUAACAUUUCGUACCGAAAUUUGAAAGGGUCCCUUGGAUUAGAUAAGCACCAAUUAGCACCCUGGACAGCACAGGUUAAGAAAAUAUUCCAUCAAAUCGCAGGAUUGUGGAUGAUUGCUUUCUGAUGACACAGCUUCAACACGCUGGAGGAUAUCCUGGCAGACCAUGAUGGAACGCAACUCACCAUCGUGGAUGUGCCUGUUGUCAGCAGACUCUGUCAUUCUUUGUGGCUAAAAAUUCUCACCUGUAUAAAAAAAAAUGUUUGCAAGUGAGAAACAAUAUUAAGAACCAUUAUAUGAUUGUUCCUCUGUGUAUAAUUACAAACCCCUAAACAGGGUGCAAACACUUUAAAUAUAACAUUUUAGCACAUUAAGAAAAUGCAUUGCUUUUAAAAGGUUUUUUACCAAAUAAUUCUGCUGAGUGAAAGUUAUAAAGCAAUAUUGUAUAGUCCAAUGAUGGAUUGAUGCAUAGCUCGCAAAACAGUACAAUUUUCUAUUUAGAACCUUAGUUUGUAUUAGAAAAAUUAAAAGAAUUCCAUGUCAUUUUAUAUAUAAAUUCCUUCCUACAAGCAAAUCCACAAAGCGAUUUGGUCCAUUCUGGGUUUUUUUGCACUAAGGUAGACAGCCUCUAUUAAUUAUAAAAGAUUUCAACAUGGUAGGAAAACAAUAGGCCCAUGAACAACACCACUCACCUGGGCAGGUGCUUUUUACACUUCAAUUUUUUUUUUAUUAUUCCCCUUUCCAUUGUGCCCCCUGCCCUGGUGCAAAAAAAUGUAAUUCUACAUUUCAUAAGAAUGCUUGUGUGUAUCCACCUGACAAAACAUAGCCUUCAAAAUUUUCAAAAUAUUUAUUCCAAUAGAAAACUUCAAACCCUUUAUUUGGCCCUUUGAAACAUGGUAUGAACAAACUUGAAUCUUCGAUAUAAUUAGAAAGCUUUUGUGCAAAGUUUGGCUUUUAAAAUACACACAUACACACUACAAUGAAUAUUUUUUAAAAUACAUUCCACUCUGUUUCCAAGUAUAUGAAAUCAUAAAAAAUAUGAAUUAGGUUUUACUUAGAGUUGGCUCAUAUGUACAUUUAACAAUAGUCUAAAUGAAACUGAAAGCUCAAAUGGGCUGUUUAAUCUGAAAACCGACUAUAAAUAUAUUUACAAAUAGAUUUACAUAACUUAAUUUAAAUAAUAAAUAAUAUAUGCACAAGAUAAAUUUUCAGUACAUGCACUUACAUUGAACUACAUGAUCCAAUAUAACCGUACUGAUUAAAAAUUAAAUAUAAAUACUACUAAAAGUAGUGAGAAUUAUAAUAAACGUCAAGAUGUAUGCUUUUGAGCCACCCUAUACUUCUGAAACUAUAAACAAUGCUAGAAAGAAACUACAACACCAAAUCAAAUUCAACCAUAUGAAAUAAUUUCAUAUGAGACGAACUAUACUAUAUAAAUGCUGUGAUAUUUCAUUAUUCCACCCUUGCGUUACGGAACGGCUGACAAUAAAAUUUGGGUUGCUGAGCGCUUGAUGUACAACAAAGAAUGUACAUUUAUUCAACAUGGCGUACACGCUGUAUGAUGUACACAUAAAAUAUUACCAAUGAAAUGUUAAAAGCUUUAAGGCAUACAUUUGCAUCUGGCCCGCUAAUAUUUAAUAACAGAAUUCCUUGUCUCACCUCUUAUCCAUAUCUUUAGAAAUCAUGUUGUUUUUUUAAUUAAACACAUAAGCAGCAAAAUUCAGCAUGCAGCAGUGCGUACAAAAUUAAAGGGAAA